CGGCAACGGCGUAGUGAUACGUAGGUACGUACCCUUGGGUUGGGAAUAGCCACGGGAAACUGUGGGUAAUGCCCAAUAAUCUCUGCGGAGCAAAGGUGUGAUUCCGCCUGAGGAGCGGCCUACGCGAUAUUAGCUAGUUGGUGGGGUAAUGGCCUACCAAGGCGAAGAUGUCUAGGGGGUGUGAGAGCAUGGCCCCCACGACCGGAACUGAGACACUGUCCGGACACCUACGGGUGGCUGCAGUCGAGAAUCUUCCGCAAUGGGCGAAAGCCUGACGGAGCGACGCCGCGUGCGGGAUGAAGGCCCUUGGGUUGUAGACCGCUGUCAGAGGGGAUGAAAUCAUGGUUGGCAAUCCUUCCAUGUUGACAGAGCCUCAGAGGAAGCACGGGCUAAGUACGUGCCAGCAGCCGCGGUAACACGUACUGUGCGAACGUUAUUCGGAAUCACUGGGCUUAAAGGGUAUGUAGGCGGUUUGGGAAGUCAGAUGUGAAAUGCCACAGCUCAACUGUGGCACUGCGUUUGAAACUCCCAGACUAGAGUACUCCAGAGGUGUGCGGAACUGCCAGUGGAGCGGUGAAAUGCGUUGAUAUUGGCAGGAACACCAGAGGCGAAGGCGGCACACUGGGGGAUAACUGACGCUGAGAUACGAAAGCCAGGGUAGCGAACGGGAUUAGAUACCCCGGUAGUCCUGGCUGUAAA
rnacentral:rRNA from 1 species